UUACAGUCAUAUCACGUUGAAAAACCGGUUCCCGCAGAAUCGCCGAAGUUAAGCAAUGUCGAGCCUGAUCAGUACCUAGAUGGGUGACCACUUGGGAAUGCCCCGUCCUGUAA